ensembl:lncRNA DCXR-DT DCXR divergent transcript
GCCUCAGGGACGGGUCUUUUGAAGUGCCUGGUGUGACCCAUCUUCCGUGCUUGAAAUCGACGUAGUGGACCCUGGCUAGCAUAUUUUUCCCUGCCAAGAUUAUUGCAAAAAGACGAUGUGGUGGUUAAUAUCGGAAAGAAUGUGUGGUUAAUAUCAGGAAGAACACGUGAAAUGGAGAAUUUCAGGGCUAACAUUUCUUGUUUUGUUUCUGAAAACAUCGGCAUGUCCUAAAAAGUGUCGCCUGUGCCCAUCAUCUCUCAGGCUUGGGAGCAGGACACCGCCGGCUCACUUUAAAGCCAAGGGAAAGAAUUUGGACAACCAACUACGUCUGGAGAAGACACCAAUGUCAGCAGAGCUCCGCUUUCAUCUGUGGGCGAAGGAUUACCUAGAUGCCAAGCUACCUAAAAGGGAAGCGCCCCCUGUCCUAUGAUCACGUGACUUGCUUCACCUUGUCAAUCACUUGGAAGAUUCACCCUCCUUACCCUGCCCUCCUUGUCUUGUAUGCAAUAAAUAUCAGUGCGCCCAGCCAUUCGGGGCCACUACUGGUCUCCGUGUCUUGAUGGUAGUGGUCCCCCGGGCCCAGCUGUUCUCUCUUUA